GUCGGCACAUGUGAUCUUAUGGAGUUGGCAGAAAUCAGGCGUAGAGGAAACCCACUGUACUGAGUGUCAUUCCAUUUUUGGACUCCUUCCAGAGCCCCUAGGAUCUAUGCUCUUGACAUCUGCUGUUUUAUUGAAAUAUAAUUGACACACAGCUUUGCAGAAGUUUAAGGUGCAUAGUACAAUGCCCUGACUUGAACACAUCAUGAAAUAAUUAACACGAAUAAACCUGAAGUAACUGAAAAGGAGGAUAGUACUAACAGGAAGUGAUGUUAAACAAAGCUCCACCAAGGAAUCAGAAGACCGUCUCCUCCUAUAGCUGCCUGGCCUCAGCAACAUCCGUCAACAAUGCCUCUUCAGUUGCCCCUUCUGAGUCCAGAACAUUGUUCAUUGAA